UUCCUGGUGGUCCAGUGGUUAAGACUUCCCACUUCCACUGGAGGGGCCCUAGGUUCAAUCCCUUACCAGGGAA
rnacentral:tRNA from 1 species